GUGCCAGCAGCCGCGGUAAAACGUAGGUCACGAGCGUUGUCCGGAAUUACUGGGUGUAAAGGGAGCGCAGGCGGGUAUGCAAGUUGGGAGUGAAAUGCAUGGGCUCAACCCAUGAACUGCUCUCAAAACUGUGUAUCUUGAGUAGUGCAGAGGUAGGCGGAAUUCCCGGUGUAGCGGUGGAAUGCGUAGAUAUCGGGAGGAACACCAGUGGCGAAGGCGGCCUACUGGGCACCAACUGACGCUGAGGCUCGAAAGUGUGGGUAGCAAACAGGAUUAGAUACCCUGGUAGUCCACACCGUAAACGAUGAUUACUAGGUGUUGGAGGAUAGACCCCUUCAGUGCCGCAGUUAACACAAUAAGUAAUCCACCUGGGGAGUACGACCGCAAGGUUGAAACUCAAAGGAAUUGACGGGGGCCCGCACAAGCAGUGGAGUAUGUGGUUUAAUUCGACGCAACGCGAAGAACCUUACCAAGUCUUGACAUCCUCUGGCGAUGCUGGAAACAGUAUCUUCCUUCGGGACAGAGAGACAGGUGGUGCAUGGUUGUCGUCAGCUCGUGUCGUGAGAUGUUGGGUUAAGUCCCGCAACGAGCGCAACCCUUAUGGAUAGUUACUACGCAAGAGGACUCUAUUCAGACUGCCGUUGACAAAACGGAGGAAGGUGGGGAUGACGUCAAAUCAUCAUGCCCUUUAUGACUUGGGCUACACACGUACUACAAUGGCGUUCAACAAAGAGAAGCGAAGCCGCGAGGCAGAGCAAAACUCAAAAACAACGUCCCAGUUCAGAUUGCAGGCUGCAACUCGCCUGCAUGAAGUCGGAAUUGCUAGUAAUCGCAGAUCAGCAUGCUGCGGUGAAUACGUUCCCGGGCCUUGUACACACCGCCCGUCACACCAUGAGAGCCGGA
rnacentral:rRNA from 1 species